CGGCCGGUGCGUUGCUCCGCUUCACGCUCUCUCCGCCUGCGUUGCUUCUGCUCAUGGAUUAUUUCUCGAGUCAUCCUUCUCGAUGAAGGAAAAAAGAAUGAGAUGGAACAUCAAGCUAUGAUGAAGAAUCACUUCUCUCUCAACAGAUGAGGCAUUUUCAUUGAUUUCAAAUUUUCAAUACUUCUUCUGAGCUUAAAAUGCCAAGCCUUUUCUCAUAUUUUUUUCUUCCUAUACAAGGCUUUUAUAUGUAUAACAUUGAUUUUUCUUCCAUGUUUCAGCAUCAAACUUAUACAUUACCAAUAACAUGAAUCAAAUUAUUGGA